rnacentral:rRNA from 1 species
CCUACGGGGGACAGCAGUGGGGAAUAUUGCGCAAUGGGCGAAAGCCUGACGCAGCGACGCCGCGUGAGGGAUGAAGGUCUUCGGAUCGUAAACCUCUGUCAGCAGGGAAGAACGGUCACUGUGCUAAUCAGCAGUGAAUUGACGGUACCUGCAAAGGAAGCACCGGCUAACUCCGUGCCAGCAGCCGCGGUAAUACGGAGGGUGCGAGCGUUAAUCGGAAUUACUGGGCGUAAAGCGCUCGUAGGCGGUAUGUCAAGUCAAGGGUGAAAUCCCCGCGCUCAACGUGGGAAGUGCCUUUGAAACUGGCAAACUGGAGUGUGUGAGAGGAUAGUGGAAUUCCAGGUGUAGGAGUGAAAGCCGUAGAUAUCUGGAGGAACAUCAGUGGCGAAGGCGACUAUCUGGCACAUAACUGACGCUGAGGAGCGAAAGCGUGGGUAGCAAACAGGAUUAGAUACCCCGGUAGUC